GGAUGUGAGGGAGAGCUGACUGUGACGUCUGUCACUCCAUUGGCCACCAGAGUUGACUUGUCUGAUCUGGCUGGCUGGGGAAUGUCCCCUUCCUCCCCCACCACCCCAUGUGCAUUCCUCCCGAAGCUGCAUGGCGUGCUGAAGAAGACUGCCUUCCCAGAUAGAGGAGGAUGGUUCUUUGGUCAAGGGCAUAUGAACAGAAGUAGCUGUGCUUCCCUGCUUCCAACUCCAUAUAAGCUCUCUCAAAUAGAAAAUGGCAGAAACCUAUUUCUUUCUUCUUU
rnacentral:snRNA from 1 species